ensembl:lincRNA
CAGGAGCUGCUGGCUCUGCGCAAGAAGUAUCUCAGCAGCCUGGGCGACCUGAGGCCCCGGCGCACACAGGGCGUUGGCUCUACCUCUUCCAAUCAUGCCGAGAGAAACAAGCCUCAUCUCAAAGGAAUAACAGAUAAGAAAGCAGCCUCAAAGAAAUACUCCCAGUUCAGCAGCGAUGUGGCUGAGGCCAUCGCCUUCUUUGACUCCAUCAUUGCAGAGCUAGAGACAGACAAAAGGCCGAGAGCUGCUGAGGCUGACCUGCCUAACGAAGACGUGGACUUCGAUGUGGCUACCAGCUCACGGGAGCACAGCUUGCAUUCCAACUGGAUUCUGCGGGCACCGCGCAGACAUUCCGAGGCCAUUGCUGCCCAUGCCACCGCGGAUAGUCGGUUUCGGAGGAGCACAGAGCACAGGGUCGCUGG